UACGAAGGUGGCAAGCGUUGUUCGGAUUUACUGGGCGUACAGGGAGCGUAGGCGGUUGGAUAAGCCCUCCGUGAAAUCUCCAGGCUUAACCUGGAAAGUGCAGAGGGGACUGUUCAGCUAGAGGAUGGGAGAGGAGCGCGGAAUUCCCGGUGUAGCGGUGAAAUGCGUAGAUAUCUGGAGGAACACCGGUGGCGAAGGCGGCAUCCUGGACCGACACGUGACGCUGAGGAGCGAAGCCAGGGAGCAACGGG
rnacentral:rRNA from 1 species